rnacentral:rRNA from 1 species
UACGUAGGGGGCAAGCGUUGUCCGGAAUUAUUGGGCGUAAAGAGCGUGUAGGCGGUCCGGUAAGUCAGCUGUGAAAGUCAAGGGCUCAACCCUUGAAAGCCGGUUGAUACUGUCGGGCUAGAGUCCGGAAGAGGAGAGUGGAAUUCCUGGUGUAGCGGUGAAAUGCGCAGAUAUCAGGAAGAACACCCGUGGCUAAGGCGGCUCUCUAGUACGGUACUGACGCUGAGACGCGAAAGCGUGGGGAGCGAACAGG